rnacentral:ncRNA from 2 species
CCAUAUCCGUUGGGGUGCCGUCAUGGCUGAGAGGUGAAAACCGACCCAUCGAACCUGAUCCGGGUCAUUCCGGCGUAGGGAACGGAGUGUCGCUGUGA